AAUGUAGGUAUAACUAGUAAAUAAAUGUAAUUAUAUAAACAAAUACGAAUUCAAUAAAUGUGUACUGUGUAGUCCGCUUGUGUUAGUACCUAUCUAUCGCGCGCGCCGCACCCCGAUUCUAGCUCGGUCGGUAAAGUAGUUUGGUUACUACUACUACUUAUAAAUAAAAUAUACAUUUUCUUUUCCAUUUCACCGCCGCGCCGCCGAACGGGCACGACGCUUUCCAAAAGUAAAGCGAAAUUAUAAUAAAUUGUAAAUUUGAAAUAGAAUUGCAUAUUAAUUAAAAAGAAAAAAUAAUAAUAAAGUGAAUCAAUAAAGCAAAUAUACAUUAACUAACGUAUACACUCAACAACAUCACAAUAAAUAAUAGAAACGUGCAGUCGUUUGAGAACCCCGACACACUAGCCAAGAGACCAUGCAAACAUUAAGAAUAAGAAUAAGAAUAAACAAACAUUACCCGACGGAAAAUUAUAAUAAUCAUGACAAAGGUUGUGUCGCCGCAUCCAGCCCGCUAGGAGGACUCCGCCACGUGACGUGUCGAAACCAAUUAGACUACGAAACGGUGGCGGCAAAUCGUUCCAGCACUUGGAUGCGGCGAACCUGAAACUGCCACGGAAAGCGGUGGUGCGGUGACGAGGUACCGCGAGUGAGUAGUACGACGCACGGGUCCUGGCAGCAGUCACGUCGCGGGACCAAACUAGUUUGUCCGCAAGAUAUGGCGGUAAUUUAAAAUUAACUAUUCCGAACAUCAGCGUUGCAAAAUGAAACUGUCUGCGAUAUUUCAUUUUUAGGAUUCUAGCCUUGUUUAUGUAAGGUGUUACGUGUGUGCGGGGAGGAAUUUUGAAGCAGAAUCUAGCGCAAGCAUUUUGUACUCUCUGAACCAGGUUUUGUGAGCGAGCCAGAAGCCGAGGCCCAUACACAGCGUCCAUAUAAUUAAACUUAGAGAGAAUUAAAGA